rnacentral:rRNA from 1 species
CCUACGGGGGGCUGCAGUGAGGAAUAUUGGUCAAUGGGCGCGAGCCUGAACCAGCCAAGUCGCGUGAGGGAUGAAGGUUCUAUGGAUCGUAAACCUCUUUUAUAAGGGAAUAAAGUGUGGGACGUGUCCGAGUUUGUAUGUACCUGAUGAAUAAGGAUCGGCUAACUCCGUGCCAGCAGCCGCGGUAAUACGGAGGAUCCGAGCGUUAUCCGGAUUUAUUGGGUUUAAAGGGUGCGUAGGCGGCCUUUGAAGUCAGCGGUGAAAGUCUGUGGCUCAACCAUAGAAUGGCCGUUGAAACGGGUGGCCUUGAGUAUGUUUGCGGCAGGCGGAAUGCGUGGUGUAGCGGUGAAAUGCUUAGAUAUCACGCAGAACCCCGAUUGCGAAGGCAGCCUGCCACGCCAUGACUGACGCUGCUGCACGAACGCGUGGGGAUCAAACAGGAUUAGAUACCCUUGUAGUC